AAUGGUUAUGGAACCAGCCCUCAGGUCUGGGAUAACCAAUACCAAAUCGGGGCUAAUACCGGAUGGGUGGGACCACCGCAUGGUCCGAGGAUGAAUGACGCUUCGGCGUCUUAUGUGGAUGGCUUUGCAGUGCAUUACCUAGGUGGCGAUGCAAUGGCGCACCAAGGCGACGAUGCAUAACCCAGCUGAUAAGGUGAUCGGCCAACUUGGGACUGAGACACCGCCGGGACUCCUUGGGGAGGGAGCGAAAGGGAAUCUUCCCCAAUGGACGAGUGUCUGAUGGAUCAACGCCUUGUGAACCAUUAAAGCCUUCGAGUCAUGGUUGUCUGUUGUUACGCAAGAACAAGUGCCUUACGCAAUGGCUGCACCUUGACGGUACCUUGCCAGAAAGCCACGGCUAACUACGUGCCGCCAGCCGCGGUAAUAAAUUACGUGGCAAGCGUUGUCCGGAAUUAUUGGGCGUAAAGCGCGCGCAAGCGGCCUCUUAAGUCUGAUGUGAAAGCCCCCGGCUCAACCUGGGAGGGCCAUUGUAAACUGGGAGGCUUGAGUAUGUGAGAGAAGAGUGGAAUUCCACAUGUAACGGUGAAAUGCUGACAGAUGUGAACG
rnacentral:rRNA from 1 species